rnacentral:piRNA from 1 species
UGACAACUUGAGUUGGAUUCCCAAGA